CCUUAAAAUACCAAUAAAAAUGGUCUUGCACCCUUCAACCCUCAAUAAGCCACAUUAGGUCACAGAAGGCUCUAACCUUCUGGGUAAAUUCUUUCAAUAUCUCCUCUGAAUUUCUGAACAGUUCAUACCCCUUUACGCAUAAAGAAUUUAAAUUUUACCUCCAAUAAGUCAUUGGGUGGCCAUGCAGCAAGUGGGAGAGGGGGAAAGCUGAAGCUACCAGGAGAUGAAUGACAGAAAUCGUGUGCUGAAUCUGACCCAAAUUCACAGACAGCUUUUCCUCCUCCACUCCAAACUGCAUUUCUGGUGAACCUGUGCCCAACAUCCCCAUCCACACAGGAGAUUUAUGGUUAGAUUGGAGGUAAAACACUGCAACUCUCAGGAUAGUCAAGCACAGAAAUAAAUCAGCAAGGGACAGCCCAAGGGUUGAGGAGACAGGAGAACUUUAAGUACAGCUUAGACAAGACCCAAAAUGACUUCACUGGGUUGUAUGAACCAAAAUUCCAGUGCUGAACCUCCAACUGCACCACCCUGCCCUGAACCCAGGCCGAGGAACUGGAACAGCAACGCUUCACACGCUCCGGUGGCAGCGAGCACGGGAGGCACUGAGGAGUAGGAAACCAGGCCUCCUUUUGAGGGGAAUAAAGAAGAGCUCGCAGGAACAGGAGAAAAAUGGGCUGAUCUAUUUUGCCAUUAAAGCCGAGCUUGGCUUGGGGUUAUCGCCAAAGCAGCUCCCCAGAGAAAAGCACAUCUCACUUCUGCCCAUCCCCAGCCCUGCUGCUGGCAUACAUCAAACCCACCAAGCUGAGAAGUCAAAACAAGAUUACCC